AUGCUCACUUUAGCAACACAUAUACUAAAAUUGGAAUGAUACAGAGGUUAGCAUGGCCCUUGCACAAGGAUGACACACAAAUUCGUGAAGGGUUCCAUAUUUUU
rnacentral:snRNA from 1 species